UGGGGAAUUUUGGACAAUGGGCGAAAGCCUGAUCCAGCAAUGCCGCGUGUGUGAAGAAGGCCUUCGGGUUGUAAAGCACUUUUGUCCGGAAAGAAAUCCUUGGCUCUAAUACAGUCGGGGGAUGACGGUACCGGAAGAAUAAGCACCGGCUAACUACGUGCCAGCAGCCGCGGUAAUACGUAGGGUGCAAGCGUUAAUCGGAAUUACCGGGCGUAAAGCGUGCGCAGGCGGUUUGCUAAGACCGAUGUGAAAUCCCCGGGCUCAACCUGGGAACUGCAUUGGUGACUGGCAGGCUAGAGUAUGGCAGAGGGGGGUAGAAUUCCACGUGUAGCAGUGAAAUGCGUAGAGAUGUGGAGGAAUACCGAUGGCGAAGGCAGCCCCCUGGGCCAAUACUGACGCUCAUGCACGAAAGCGUGGGGAGCAAACAGGAUUAGAUACCCUGGUAGUCCACGCCCUAAACGAUGUCAACUAGUUGUUGGGGAUUCAUUUCCUUAGUAACGUAGCUAACGCGUGAAGUUGACCGCCUGGGGAGUACGGUCGCAAGAUUAAAGCUCAAAGGAAUUGACGGGGUCAUAGCUG
rnacentral:rRNA from 1 species